UUCAUCCCUUACAUUUGUGUGUAUAAGGUAGUUGUUGUGAAUUUGUUAGAUAUUACUGCAUUGUCGGAACUAGAAGAGAAGUGUGCUCUUCACGGAUGAAUUCUGGUUUCAACUGUACCUUAAUUGCAUCUCAAAUCCAAGAUGGCAGCAUGUUAAGUCGUUUGUCUGUGACUAGUACAUUUGAACCUACUAAUAACCUAUUUAUAUAUGGUUGUGUAGUGCAAACUAUUUUAUUUUUGCUGGUGUAAAGAUCACGGGUCCUGCUCAACUCGGCACUUCAUUACUUGAAGUUUACCAAAGUAACCCUAUCUCUGGCUGGCCUGAGUUCCUCCUUCGUCUGCGGAGUGUCUUGUCCAAGCUGCUCCUUUUUGCUCUUCGCCUGGCUGUCAGUGGCAGCUCAACAAUCAAUACCCAAUCUACUCACACGCGCAAACACUCACAUUCAGACUCAUACAUACACGCUCUCUCUCUCCCCUUACCUUCGUUGGCCUAUAAUUUUGUAUUUUUUUUGUCGGAGAAAAUGACAGUUUUCGUGGUAUUGCUUUGUGCACUUACUUUACUGAACUCUGGAGAAAACGAACAUUGUCGCUGGCCAGUUCCGGUUACCGUGCUCCUCGGACUUGGAGAGGAGCUAGAGGGGCACCUUGUUUAUGCCAUCACUCAAGAGCAACUGAAGUUUCUGAUGUCCUGUGCUUUCAGUGCGUCUCAGAUGGCAGAUAUUCUACAUUGAUCAACACUCAAACAUAGUCUAAGACACUUCAAUCUGUCACAUGCACCGUUAUAUUCUGACAUGUCAGACUUGGCUCUGGAUGAAAAGAUUAAGGACUUGGUGGCUGGGAACGACAAACUUCGACCGGAGGCUGUUCGAGCACAAUUAAGGGCAUUGGGAAUCCGGGUGCAGAGACGCAGAGUGAGGGACAGCAUGAUUCGUGUUAACCUGAGGGCGGCUGCCCUCAGAGCCAUGUCGCAGAUGCUACAUAGAAGGUCAUAACGUGUUGCUGGACAAAACUCGUUAUGGCACCUUGAUGGAAACCACAAACUGAUAAGGUAGGUGUAUCUUUGUGAUCGACCCAAUUAUCUAUAUCACUGGUGAGAAGUUGUACAUUGUAACAUCUCAAAUUGUUCAUCAACUUGUUCAUCAACAACUAACAUUUCAGUUUAGCAAGCAAUGGCCCAAUAUAUCAAUCAUGUGGAUAAUAAUUGUUUUAUUGUGUUUCUGCUACUUCUGUGAUCGAUAGAAUAUCUGCAUCAUGAAAUUAACAAACAUGCUUAUAUUGAGGACAUACUGAGGCAAAAACGGUUGGAACAAAGUAUUUGUGCCUAAGCGUGAACAACAGGAGAGUCUGUCCUCUUGACUCAUUAACUUAAUUCAUUAACAUUGUUCCACAUUUUGGAUGUUAAUUUAAUAUCGGGUCUGCUGCUUUGUUAUAUACUGCAGGAACCUGAUGCAGCAUCUAAGUGGUAAAGGAGGAUUGUGAUGUUUGUAUAUUUCAUGUGUUCAGCUUUUGUAUCAACCAGUGCUGUGUUUUCUGAUUUAAGUGGAGGAUAGUUAUACAUGGUGGCAUUGAUGGGUACAGCUGCCUUGUUGUGUUUCUUCGUGCUUCCAGCAACAAUCGCAGCAGUACUGUAAUGCAUUGCUUCAUGAAUGCUGUCUCCAGAUAUGGCGUUCCCUCCAGAGUUAGGACGGACCAUGGAGGAGAAAACACUGUCUGCUUGUUGAAUGUAAUACAUAUUGAAAAUAUUAUUUAAAAAAUAGAGCUACAUGCAUCCUUAAAAUGUCGUCUUGACCUACACAUUGAUUACAUUCUAUAGUGAGUGAUGCAUGCGGCUACAUUUUUUUUCUGUAAAUCAUUUUCAGAACGCACUCACAUUAUGUUGGACAGCUUUAUUGCUUUCUCUAUGUUUUUGAAAUGUAUAAGCCUUUAAAUUACCUUUUACUGACUAUUUCUACAAAUGAGGCUAUACUUGUGGCAGCACCUAUUCCUGUGACUACACUUCUUGUGGCCCCUCUCCACCUAUACCACUUCCUGUGGCCUCCCUUCCACCAUUCCCUGAGGCGUAUCGUCCACCACACUCUUCUGUUGAUGUUGGUGAUGACAAUGAGUAAGUCAUCCCUGUAAAUAAUUGUCUUAUUACAGAUAAAUUGUGAGAAGUAUCUGAGCUUUGUUAUUCUGAAUGUCUCUUUUGGUGUUGACCUCCAAACACUGAAGUUAAUGAGAUGCCAACCAAAUUAACAUGAGGGACAACGUUUAUGAUUGUGCAAGGAGAGGCUUUAAUAAGAGAGCCCACUUUAAUCCGGAGGCAAAUAUAGACAUGGUUUAGGGAUGCUGACGGAAAAGGGGCAGCUGAUGAGGAUGGUCCCCCAAGAGAAAUUCUCUGGCUGCUAAUGAGUGCCAUCCAUUCCUCUGCAAUAUUUGAGGGACCUGAUUGACAAAAAGGCCUUUCUUGCAACUCUCAAGCAACAUGGGGGUGUAGAGACAUUUUUUCAGAGGCUAUACAGACACGUGUGUGACCUACAACCUCCUGUGCCAGAACUGAAAAAAAUUGCGGAAUAUGACUUCAGAGAGAAGUUGGAGAAGGGGGAACACAUACCCUUUAACCAUGGAGAAGGUUUUCAUUUUCACUUCUGGAGCUUCAGCAUUCCUAGGCUGGGAUUGCCAGUGGAGCCACAGCUACAGUUCUCUGCAACCGCACGGCAAGCUGUACCGGAGCGCCAAGUCUAGGUCCAAGAGGCUUCUAAACAGAUUAUACCCCCAAGCCAUAAGACUACUGAACAUCUAAUCAAAUGGCUACCCAGACUAAUUUGCUGAUACUCUAUCUAUGCAUAGUCACUUCAAUAUCUCUACUGUCGCGCCCUGACCAUAAAGAGACAUUGUUUCUCUAUGGUGAAGUAGGUCAGGGUGUGACUGGGGGUGAUCUAGUUUAUUUAUUUCUGUGGUGUUCCAGUUUAUUUUCUAUGGUGGUGAUUUGUAUGAUUCCCAAUUAGAGGCAGCUGGUAAUCGUUGUCUCUAAGUAGUUGUUUUUCCCACCUGUGUUUGUGGGAUAUUAUUUUGUGCAUUUGCACCACUUAGUCACGUUUCUUUAUUGUUUUGCUUAAGUUUCACUUAGAAAUAAAGAUGUGGAACUCAA